AUUGAACGCUGGCGGCAUGCCUUACACAUGCAAGUCGAACGGCAGCACGGACUUCGGUCUGGUGGCGAGUGGCGAACGGGUGAGUAAUGCAUCGGAAUGUACCCGGUAGUGGGGGAUAACUACCCGAAAGGGUGGCUAAUACCGCAUAUACUGUGCGCAGGAAAGCAGGGGACCUUCGGGCCUUGUGCUACCGGAGCGGCCGAUGUCAGAUUAGGUAGUUGGUGGGGUAACGGCCUACCAAGCCUGCGAUCUGUAGCGGGUCUGAGAGGAUGAUCCGCCACACUGGGACUGAGACACGGCCCAGACUCCUACGGGAGGCAGCAGUGGGGAAUUUUGGACAAUGGGCGCAAGCCUGAUCCAGCCAUGCCGCGUGAGUGAAGAAGGCCUUCGGGUUGUAAAGCUCUUUCGGACGGAAAGAAAUCGCGCAGGCUAAUACCCUGUGCGGAUGACGGUACCGUCAUAAGAAGCACCGGCUAACUACGUGCCAGCCGCCGCCGUAACAC
rnacentral:rRNA from 1 species